rnacentral:rRNA from 1 species
UCUACGGGUGGCAGCAGUGGGGAAUAUUGGACAAUGGGCGAAAGCCUGAUCCAGCCAUGCCGCGUGUGUGAAGAAGGCCUUCGGGUUGUAAAGCACUUUCAGUGGGGAAGAAAGCCUUGGGGCUAAUACCCUAGAGGAAGGACAUCACCCACAGAAGAAGCACCGGCUAACUCCGUGCCAGCAGCCGCGGUAAUACGGAGGGUGCGAGCGUUAAUCGGAAUUACUGGGCGUAAAGCGCGCGUAGGCGGUCUGAUAAGCCGGUUGUGAAAGCCCCGGGCUCAACCUGGGAACGGCAUCCGGAACUGUCAGGCUAGAGUGCAGGAGAGGAAGGUAGAAUUCCCGGUGUAGCGGUGAAAUGCGUAGAGAUCGGGAGGAAUACCAGUGGCGAAGGCGGCCUUCUGGACUGACACUGACGCUGAGGUGCGAAAGCGUGGGUAGCAAACAGGAUUAGAUACCCCAGUAGUC